rnacentral:lncRNA from 1 species
CAUUUUAAUUCAGGUCCACAACCUCUUCUCAUCCUUAUUUUCUAUUGGAAGUGGAGAAGGAGUGAGUCAAACCCUAAGGAUGUUCCCUGCACUAUGCGGACUCACAUGAUGGUGAAUCAGGGGUUCUCAGGAUGUUGUUGCCAAGAGACUUCCUCACAGACACUGUGUGCUGCCUUUGUUUUCCUUUCCAAAUGCAUAUGGAGGAAUCUUCCAGAACUGAGACCCCAUCAGUGAAUUGCACCUGCAGUGUGGUCCUGCACAUUUUUCUGUAACAAGCCCGGGAAUAGAGGCAGGUGAUGUGAUCUAAGGUGCAGCCUCAGGUCGCAGGCGGGCUGUGGUCAGUCCUGCCUUCAAACCAGGUGAAUUGCUUGGCCACUCUGGGCCUCAUGUCCUCAUCUCUAAAGCGUGGACGGUGAUGCUGCCUAUCUCACAGGUACGCUUUGCAGAUCAGGUGCAUGAGAAAGCCCAGGGAACACCCAUGAAUGGGACUCAUUGUGGCUUUAC